rnacentral:rRNA from 1 species
UGGGGAAUUUUGCGCAAUGGGCGAAAGCCUGACGCAGCAACGCCGCGUGAGUGAUGAAGGCUUUCGGGUCGUAAAGCUCUGUCAAGGGGAAAGAAGUGUAUUGUGGUUAAUACCCAUGAUGCUUGACGGUACCCCUAAAGGAAGCACCGGCUAACUCCGUGCCAGCAGCCGCGGUAAUACGGGGGGUGCAAGCGUUGGUCGGAAUUAUUGGGCGUAAAGCGCGUGUAGGCGGGUUGUUAAGUCUGAUGUGAAAGCCCCGGGCUCAACCUGGGAAGUGCAUUGGAAACUGGCAGACUUGAAUACGGGAUAGGGGAGUGGAAGUCCUGGUGUAGGAGUGAAAUCCGGAGAUAUCAGGAGGAACACCGGUGGCGAAGGCGGCUGCCUGGACCGAUAUUGACGCUGAGACGCGAAAGCGUGGGUAGCAAACA